UUGCAUUAGGUUUCACAUAUUAUUAAAUCUAGUUUAGAAAUGGUAAAUAAUUUAACACUGUAUAAAAUUAUAGUCUAGCAAACAUGAUUAGUUAUAGAGAUUAGACUUAAGAAACGAACAACCAAGUAACGAGGAAAAAAAUAUUUUUGCACCUAUGGGCAGUAGCCCUAGCCCAUUAUUGUUGAUGGGCCAUAACAAUUGGGCCAAAUAAACUUUGUGUCUCUGAGACGCCAAUCCUAUCUAGCUUCCGAAAUUUUUUUUCUAACGAAACUUGCAUUAUUUAAGAUUCGUGCGUGUGUCCUUGUCCAUUCAUUGGAUGUGCUCUCAUCUUUCUCAAUCCUAGCCUCCAUUCUUUCUCCACC
rnacentral:lncRNA from 1 species